rnacentral:tRNA from 1 species
GGGGUUGUGGUUCAGUGGUAGAAUGCUCACCUAGCAUGUUUGAGGCACUGGGUUUGAGCCUCAGCACCACA